CCUACGGGGGGCAGCAGUGGGGAAUAUUGCACAAUGGGGGAAACCCUGAUGCAGCAACGCCGCGUGAGCGAAGAAGGCCUUCGGGUCAUAAAGCUCUGUCCUAAGGGAAGAAGCAUGACGGUACCUUAGGAGGAAGCCCCGGCUAACUACGUGCCAGCAGCCGCGGUAAUACGUAGGGGGCGAGCGUUAUCCGGGAUCACUGGGCGUAAAGGGUGCGUAGGCGGCCAAUUAAGCCAGAGGUGAAAGGCUACGGCUCAACCGUAGUAAGCCUUUGGAACUGAAUGGCUUGAGUGCAGGAGAGAAGAGUGGAAUGCCGAGUGUAGCGGUGAAAUGCGUAGAUAUUAGGAGGAACGCCAGUGGCGAAGGGGACUCUCUGGAGUGUAACUUACGGUUAUGCACGAAUGCUUGGGGAGCAAACAGGAUUAGAUACCCGUGUAGUC
rnacentral:rRNA from 1 species